AUGUUGAAGGGGCAGCUUUAUUAAGGUUUCAGGGGGGGGCGGGGGGAGUUUGAAAGCUUGGGCGCAACAAAAAUCUUACACACAGAGACCAUGCAACAACUGGCGCCACUUUCUCUCUCUUCUUUUUUUCAAUUUCUCUCCCUUCUUUCUCUCUUUCUCUCUCUUCUUUUCUCUCUGCCCUCAGUGGUUGGCUCAGACAAUUGUCCUUCUCUGCAACCACCCUGCCAUCUGUAAAUAAACCCUACAUCCCCGCUUUUUAUUUUCU
rnacentral:lncRNA from 1 species